rnacentral:rRNA from 1 species
CAAAGGCAUGGUCCUGACCUUAUUAUCAGCUCUUACCCGACUUACACAUGCAAGUCUCCGCAAUCCCGUGAGUAUGCCCUCAAUCCCCUGCCCGGGGACGAGGAGCGGGCAUCAGACACAAAUUUUAGCCCAAGACGCCUGGCCAAGCCACACCCCCAAGGGAAUUCAGCAGUGAUAAACAUUAAGCCAUAAGUGAAAACUUGACUCAGUCAAGGUAAAGAGGGCCGGUAAAACUCGUGCCAGCCACCGCGGUUAAACGAGAGGCCCUAGUUGAUAAAACCACGGCGUAAAGGGUGGUUAAGGAAAGCAAACAAAUUAAAGCCAAAUGGCCCUUUGGCCGUCAUACGCUUCUAGGUGUCCGAAGCCCAAUUAUACGAAAGUAGCUUUAUAAAGCCCACC